UACGUAGGGGGCAAGCGUUGUCCGGAAUCAUUGGGCGUAAAGCGCGUGUAGGCGGCCAGAUAAGUCCGCUGUGAAAACUCGAGGCUCAACUUCGAGCUGUCGGUGGAAACUAUUUGGCUAGAGUCCGGAAGAGGAGAGUGGAAUUCCUGGUGUAGCGGUGAAAUGCGCAGAUAUCAGGAAGAACACCCGUGGCGAAGGCGGCUCUCUGGUACGGAACUGACGCUGAGACGCGAAAGCGUGGGGAGCGAACAGG
rnacentral:rRNA from 1 species